UUGUAUAAGAGCCAUUACACUCCCUGCAACACAAGAACUAGAUUCAGCUAACAAAACCCAAUUUCUUCAACAAACAAACCGAAAGUUGAAAGCUUUAAAAACCUAAGAAGAUUAUAUGCAAUUUUCAUGAAAUUUCGACCCGAGACAAAAAGAGUUUCACUUUCACCGCAAAUAAGCUUGCACCCAUUACGAAACAUACGAAUUCUUCAACCACUAAGCAGAAAAAAAUCACAGCUUUCUAAAGAAAUUCGAGUGAACAAAUCUGUAAAAACACGAGCUUGGAGCCACCACCAUUUAGUUAGAGGAAAAAUCAAGACAAGUGAAGGAAAACAUAGAAAAACAACAUUCUAUGGAUGACUCUAAUCAAACGAGAGAAGCUGAA